rnacentral:lncRNA from 1 species
CUUUUCUUUUUCUUCUCCUCCCUGUUUUUCUUCUUUUUGGUGAUAAGGCGGGCCUAUCCUGUUUGUCUUGCCUUAUUUAGAAGGGAUUCAUGGCACGUGGAGUCUUCACUUGACAUGUACACACUGAGAACAUUCCAGGUACAAGGAAAUAUCAAUAGCAAAUUUUAUGCUUCCGGGUUGAAAACAUGCUUGUAUAUCCAUCUCCCAUUCAGUCAUCAUAGAAUCACUGUAAAUUAAGUGGUAGAAGGAUUACCAUUCUUUUAUAUAUUUGGAUCAUGUUGCUCAGGAAGAUUAAAUGGCUUACUGUUCACAGCUGGUAAAGGCAGUGCUUGAACACAAACCCAAGGGCUCUGACAACACAUCCUAUGAUUAUUCGACUUUGUCAUGUCACCUCAUCUUAAGGAUAUGACAUAAUUUCGUCUAUCAAUCUACUUGUCAUCUUUGAAAGGGCUGAGAGCAGGAUACUUAGGGAAUAAUUUUAGCAAUCAACUGUACUCUAUUGUGACAUCAGAGAAGUAACCUCUAAUGGCCAUCUACCAGCCGACCAGUGGAGUAGCUGGGUGCAGGCACAGUUUGGGGGUACCCCUUAAAAUGAGUUAUAAAGUUCUAAAAUUCUUUGAAGAAAUUAGAAGUUGGGGUCAAGGAGCAGAAAUGAACUUCUCACUCCCUGAUUGCAUGUUCCUGAGCUCAGAAAUCUAGGGUGUUGCCACCUGGCUGGAGACUAUUGACAUUUUAGGAGAGCUUGACCUGUUGCCUCCUAGAGUUUUGGCAGCCCGGAAACUGCAACUUGACACUCACACCGAAAGUUUUGAAGCUGGGAGGAUGCCUGAAGCACCCCUACACUAAAGAGGUAAAGAGAAGAGAAACCAUCAUAGAAGCAAACUACAAUUUGACAUUCUACAAUUUGACAAACAAGGGGGUUUACGUUUCUUUGAGUCAAGUGAAUACCUGCAAGAUAGCUAGGCUGAAGUAUUAUGGAAGGUACUGCCCCUCCCUCAUCAAUAAAUUUAAACAAAGGAUACUUGCCUCAGUGAGGACCUAGUGUGGUAAACUGCCAGAGGCACUAGCUAAGAGUGAAAUUGAAAGGUUAGCUCGGCAUUGCCAUAUUUUUGCCAGAGAACAUGUAAUAGUGGAGGUCAUCACAGGGUGGAGAGAGAGAGAAGUGGUUCCUAAAGAACCCAAUAGCAUGCUUCAUAAAAGCCCUAGUGUUUGGAUGUCUGCCAUGACGGAGGGCAAUAACCAGCCAGUGUGAGCCAUGAAAGAAUAGCCAGUAAAGCCACCUGUGAAACAGACCUUUCAUCUCCUUGAAGC